rnacentral:rRNA from 1 species
GACGAACGCUGGCGGCGUGCUUAACACAUGCAAGUCGAACGAAGUGGCGAACGGGUGAGUAAUACGUGGGUACCCUGCCCUCCUUUUUGGGCUACGCCUUGGAAACGGGGUCUAAUACCGAAUAAUGGGGGUUGGGGUCGCGGCGUAUCAGCUUGUUGGUGGGGUGCUGGCCUACCAAGGCGGUGCCGGGUAGCCGGCCUGAGAGGGAAAACUGCAACAUGGAGACGGGGAUACGGCCUAGAGGAAGACGGGGGGGAGAAGGGGGGGAUAUUGGCCAAUGGGCGAUAGACUGAUGCAGCGAGGCUGAGGGGGGGAUGAAGGUUGUCGGGUUGUAAACGUGUGGAGCGAGCGAAAGGGUAGGUGGAGAAGAAGCGCCGGCUAACUACGUGCCAGCAGCCGCGGUAAUAC